rnacentral:lncRNA from 1 species
CUUAAUUGUAUCAGAGAGCAGGGCGGACCCUCAGAGUCACUCUCUUGUACAGGAUCUGGAAACCCAGGAGGAUUCCUCUCCCUCAGGACCAGAGGGAGGACGACAUUCUAGUGUUGGUCCCAUUUUCCUUCUCUCUUUGUGGGAGGCCAGCCCAGGAGAUCUACAGGCGAUCAGGGAGGCGUCUUGUGUUCCCUGGUACCCGUGAGCUGCAGCGUCUCCUUCCCGUUCUCCAGGUGUCUGCGAGCCUCUCCACGCACGUGCCCUCCAGGUAGGCCCUGAUCUGCUCUGCAAAUUCUUCUGCCUCCCUCUUGCGCUUGGUGAUCUGAGCCGCCAUGUCCGCCGCGGUCCAGGAGCGCAGGUCCUAGUUCCGGGCUAUGUAAUCCUUGCCAUCGUUGGCGUGCUGUUCAUACUCGCGGAGGAGGCGCCCUUCCAGCCCCAAGUCGCAGCCCGGCCUAGCUCUGGUUGUAGUAGUGAGGCAGCAUCCGCAGGUUCACUCUGUCAGUCUGUGCGUGGGCCUUGAUGUUCCGUGUGCUCCCGUCCCAAUACUCCGGCCCCUCCUGCACCACCCACGGCGUCUGCGGCUCCAUCCUCGGACUCGCCGCGUCGUUGUCUAACCGCACGAACUGCGUGUCGUCCACUUAGCCCACUGCGAUGUACCGGGGCUCCCUG